AGAUCACUCCACUUCUCUCAAUAACCAGUGAGUGAUGCCAAUUUGUACUGCACUGUGAAGAUUCAGAAACAGAAAAAGCUGGUGCUAAAUCUGAGAGCUGGAUUUGGAAGUACUCAAAAGAAUCUACUAAGAAUGUGAUAUCCCAGUGAUCUUGAAAGAUACAGAAGAGAACAGGACUGGCUGAAAAACACUCAGAAUGCUGUGUUUGAUAAUUGGGAGUAGAACUUCUGAAGUCUAAUGAUCCAGGCCAGAUUUAAAUCUUAACUUUUCAUCAGCCUUCAGUGUUUUUAAUCCAAGGAAUAAUUAUCUUCCUGUAUUUCUAUUUCUUAGAUCAGAAUUUUUAAAUGCCAACUUCAUUAAUUUUCUAAGAUUUAAGUUGAAACAAUGUACAAUGUUGUAUAUCCUAACUUUCCUACAAGGGGCAGGAAGCAAGGUUAUGUGCAUGGCCACGAGUUUGUAGGUACAUGUGUUGAAAUAGGAAGUAUCCUAGUAUGUAUUUAGAUAAGAAAAACUUACAUACUAGUGUUGUCUUUGAAAUUAUAACAUUUAUACCUACAUAUUCUUUGUGUUUAUUUUAAAGUUUUGAAAAUAUACAGGACUGUUAAUAAAAAAGAACGUGAUAUCAAUUUUAUGAAAGCCCUCACCCGAGGAUGCUGGGGACUUAGUAUAGUGUGCAAGAUAUUUAAUGGUAUGAGGCAUCAUCUAUAGCAGUGGUUCCCAACAUUUUAAAAUAUAAGGUACAUUUUGAAACUAAGAAAAGCAUCACCAGGUAUUGUGUGCUGGAAGUUGUACUGUUUUCAUCUAUUGAUUGACAAAUAACCUAGUGAUAAUGCCUAUUCUUAGUAAUGCUUUAAGUUGUAUUUACAUGUUAUCAAUAAUGACAGAAUCAGCAUGUUUUUGUAAAAGUAUAAGAGCUAUAUAUGAGGGGAAUGUUAUCCAUGCCAAUCAUGCUUGGCCUGCAUUCUAAACUUGUAAACCCUUUAAUGGCUUGUCACCUACAGACCAAACAGUGCUGACUUAGAUUAAAAAUAUAUCAUUGAUGAUAGGAAUCUUUUGAGUUAUUAUGAAAAUUAUUUCUUGACAAAAUCCUGAGAACUUUAAGUAAAACACUUCUUUCAGGGCCUGUGACUGAUGCUGGUCUUAUUCUCCCCACUGAUGUCUCAUCUUUUCUUGAUGCAGAAUUCGACUUCUGGUAAUCCCAUGUGAAUCUAAAGGUUUAUCAUUGCUGGAAUGAUACUCUUCACUAUGAAGUUGCAAUCUGACUGAUGUUCUGUUGCACCAAAAAACUGGCUAGGGAAAAUAUCAGGCCUGAUUAAUUAACUAGGUAAUGUGCUGAACUACAGCCCACUUUGCAAUAUCUCUAAGAUAAUGUGAUUGCAUAAGCUAAUGGAAAAUAAGUUUAUGGGCUCAGAAUUAAAAAAUAAGAUUAUUGUUUACAAGGACUUCAUCACAGAAUGUAAGGGAGUGCUCACUAAUCAGAGGAAAGGUAUCAUCAUAUCCUAGUUCCUAAACACAUUAAAAUGAUAAGCUUACUUCCAUUCAUGCAAAACCACAGGCCCCUUCUCCAAAAAGCUGGAGAUGAGAGGCCU